CUUCCACGCUCGGAGGAUGGGAGGGGUCUGAGGUGGAAAAAGAGGGGCCGAGGAGAGGAGCAAGACAGGAGUGAAGAAGGAAGUGGCACUGCGAGACCAAGAUGGCAGGGAAAGGGCCAUGCGGUUGGGAAUUAGGCAGACCAGCAUCUUCAGGCUAGAAUAGGCCAGAACUCGCUCAGCUUAUUUACUCGAAGCUUUUUUUUGGUCAUUAUUUUAGAGCAAGGGCAGGCAUAGAAAAACUCCAUACUUUUACACUUGUGUUGAAGGCCUGGUCUACACGCAGCAGUGAUCAGGGAUGAGGCUUGUGGGAAGUCUUUGGAUCGCAAGGGCUCUGACCUCACGUGUGGAUGAAUCCAUUGAUGAACUCAUAAUUUGAUAGUGUUGUAUGGGAGGGUACAUGCACGAGGCUCUGGGUUCCGUCCCCAGGGAUAACAGCAAAACCAUUGCAGAAGUUCUUGAUCUGAUCGUGCCUCCUGCUAUUGCUUACCAGAGACAGGUGCCCAUGGCACAACGCAGGGCUGCUGCACUCAAACUCGGCCGCCCUUCAUUUAAUUCAAAGGAAGCUCAAUGUUGUUCUUCAGCUGGCUGAGGACACAGCGAUGGCGUAGCUCAUUUGCUUCAUUUUCUACAUGGAAAGAUACAGUUUGAUUUGGAAAGUGACUUGAUUUGAGACAGCUGCCUGAGGUCUCUUCCACUUUCGGCUCUUCUGCCUCACUUCCCCUCUCAGGAGCCACUGGUCAUGAUUGUGGGCAUCUGUGUCACAACAUGGCUCACAGAGACCACCAGGAUGCUCAAGACGAAGGACUAGGAGAUGCCACCGGAUGGUCCUCGGGACAUUUAUCAUCACCAGAGUCACCUGAUGUAGAGAGGGAGAGUAAGGCAUCCUCAGUGGACUUUGGGGGACCCACUUAUUAAUGGACAAUAGACAUAAGGAUCAGGAAACAGAGAGACAGAGGUUUCCUUCCCCCUCAAGUGGAAGCCCCUACUAAAAGUCAAACUGAUGUGGGCUUAGAAAGGAAAAAGGCCUCCUUCUUAAAAACGUCACCUGGGCGGGUAUGACUUCCGAGUGCAGCGUCACCUGCCAAGACCUCAAAGAUGAACAUUGCAAUAGAUGGACUGCGGCCACUCAGGAUACUGGGGCAGCAUCUCCUCAGGAUCCUUCCAUUGCUCAGGCCUUUGCAGCAGCAGUAGAAACAGAAGGGCUUGUUUCAAUGGGCUGAGAAGGGACACUGGGAAGGUGAGUGCCCUAAGUGUGUGUGGGGAGGUGGGCUCCACCAUAAAUGCCACCCCACACACCAGAGUCUGUCCCUGAUGCUGUAGGGGCUUCUACUGGAGGAGAGAUUGUCACUCCCAUUAUGAUGGCAAACCACUGGAGCUUUCAAACUUAAAAUGGGGGUAGCCCUCAGCCCUGACAGUAAAAGGGAAAACCACUUCAAUAGGGGUUUUGUGGGUUUUCAGCGUCUCAGAAGGUUCCCACCCAAAGAUAACCGUGAAAAUAGGUGACAAACCAUUCAAAUGCCUCAUUGAUACUGGAACAGUUAAAACAAUAUUAAGCCAACACUCUUGUUGGUACCACAAGGCUGUGGCCUAACUCCUGGGCCUCGGCUUUAGGCCUAGAAGUUGCUCUCAUGCCUUGACCACUGAACAAGCCUGCAAAUGGGAGGUUCCUGAUGGGUCUACAGGAAUGAUACACCUUCUUGUGGCCAAUGUCAUCUCCAAUCUUCUAGGAAGAGACGUCCUGGAAGCCCUGGAAGUUACUCUCACUAGUCAGCCAAAAGGAAAUUACAGUAGGGUAAAUGAUUAUAGUCAUAGUAAUAAUUAUACUCAUAAAAAAUUUUAAAACCCUCACCCGGGUCAACCCCAAUUCCAAGGGCUGCUGUUAAAUUUAGCACUCCCUGCCUUGACUGGCUCUCUAAUGAGCCUGUCUGGGUUGAACAAAGGCCUCUAUCGAGGGAGAAACUUCAAGCGCUCACAGUUAGUAAAAAAGAAAACAACUUCUGCUUCACCAUAUUCCCCCUUCCUGCAGUCCACGGAACACUCAAGUACUCACCAUAAAAACUGCUCUGGGGAUUUGAGACAGCUACAAGAUUUAAGGGCAAUUGGUGUAGGUUUGGGGGUCUCCCCAAAGGGGGCUACCCCUCAUCUCCUCGAUUUCCACCACCAUUCCUCUCUUAGCAAUAGACAUUAAAGACUGCCUUUCUCUAUCCCUCUCCACCUGUGGGAUUGCCAAUGCUUUGUGUUCUCAAUAACUCCCCGUUAACAAUUCUGGGCCAACCUUACAAUAGGAACGGACAGUCUUCCCCCAAGGAAUGCAACAGUCCCACCAUCUGCAGGAAGCCGUUGCCACAGCGCUAAGACCCUACUUAGACUUAGACGAAGCUCUCCAUAGUUAUCAUCGUGUGAAUGAUAUCUCCAUGUGGGGACACUCUUCCACCUCACCUCCCAACUUAAGGAUCGGUUAAUAUCUUUCCUAUCUCCCCUAGGAUUUAAAAUGGCUCCCCAAAAAAUAGAGCUUAUUCCUUCCAACGCAUUCUUGGGAAUACGCCCCCUUUACUCCCUUUGAGGGAAUCUUUCCCUUCCCUCAAAACUUAACUCUUGCCUCUCUCCAAAGCUUUUGGUGGACAUUUAAUUGGCUUCAACCAUGGCUUUCCCUUCCUCCCUGCAGCCUCUCUUUCACCUCCUAAGACCCCCUCCUCCCCAGGAUCUCUCUCUCCUGAGGCUUUAGGUGACUUUAGGUGCCUUAAACAUAGUCCUGAAAGACACGGCACUCAUCAGGUACGAUCCAACAAUACUGGUAUAGCUUCUUAUUCUUGCUCUUAGGAGAGCACCGUAUCAGCCCCAGGGAGUGCUGGGAUGGCUCUACAUGCUGGUUAGCAGUGCACCUAGAAUUUUUUUUUUUUUUUUUUUUGGUUCUUUUUUCCCGAGCUGGGGACCGAACCCAGGGCCUUGCGUUUCCUAGGCAAGCGCUCUAACCACUGAGCCAAAUCCCCAGCCUUGCACCUAGAAUUUUAACGGAGGUAGAUGCACUUGCUGUUAUGAUUAGAAAUGUCAGAGACAGAGCCCUACAAACCAUAAGAACAGAACCCAAUAUCCUUGUCACCCCUUUAUCUCUUUCUGAUAUUCAAGGUGCUACCCAGAAAUCACUUCUGUUUUGCUUUUUUGGCCUAAUAGGAUUCCUGGGACAAACUGAUAAUCACUACCCUAAUGAAAGAUGGGUUUCUGCUCUAUCUCUGUCGUGGUGAAUUUCCCCACCCCCACCCCA